rnacentral:lncRNA from 1 species
GUUUAGCAUGAUUAGAAUGCAUUUCUAAAUGAUGCAAAUUUCAAAGUAAAAAAAAACAAAUAGAACAAAUCAAAUUUGAUGACCCAUUGGCAUCGUAGCAACAAAAUACGGUUAUCCGUGAACAAGCGUAUCUCAAUUAGUCCUGUAGUGAGUGUCUUUGUGGGGUUUACAGAAUAUAAACAAAUCGACAAAACGUUAAGAAUUAAAGUAGAAACGAAUAGAGAAUAGAGAAAAAUGAGCGAAAAAUACACAAGAAAAAUAAGCAAAAUAAAGAAAGCAGAGAGAAUAAUGGGUAUAAUAGAUUAAAAUAGUGAAAAAUGACAUAAAAUGUACAGAAUUGAAGAACUAUCACAUCUAGAACCUCCUUUAUUGUAAGUCGGGUAAAACAUUCUAAACUUCCGUGUUUUAUUUAUCUUGAAAUAAGAAUUGUAUAAAUUUAUUUGGCGUAUUUACUGUAUAUCCUCAUUCAACG